CACCGCCGCCGCCUGUUCUCAGCAAAGCAGCGCCACAGUCGACGCCUACGGACUAGGGCAACGCUGUGCCCUAGAUUUGCAGCGCCGCCGUCCCAUUCUGCCCUAGCCAUCACUGACACUGCCCUCCUGCAGUGUCUUUCGCUCGCCGCUGCCCUUGUGAUCUAGCGUCGGUCGGCUAGCCGUGAGUGCCAGCAAAACACCUUGUUAUCGGCUUGAGUUUCUGGCAUUAGGGCUUCCAGUGGCAGCUUUGUCCGGUUUUUGGUCAUUUCAGGCAGUAAAGGAAGAGUGAGGAGUUUCGGCAGCCAACAGCCCUUAACGGCAGCCCUCAUUCCAGCAUCUUCUUGUUCUUGAAUAAGCUGUGGAACUUGAGGUAAGGUUUGGGGUUGUGGUCUUUGUUGUAGAUGAUUUCUAGUAGUGUUAGCAAAAGUUGUUAACUUAAGUUUAGAAAUAAAUCUAAAGGUGUAAUUAGGGUUAAUGAAGCUAACCCUAGUUGGACGAUGGAUUAGAAUUUA